CGCAAGCCUGACGGAGCAAGACCGCGUGGGGGAGGAAUGCCUUAGGGUUGUAAACCCCUUUUAUCUGGGAAGAACAAAAUGACGGUACCUGAGGAAUCAGCCUCGGCUAACUCCGUGCCAGGAGCCGCGGUAAUACGGAGGAGGCAGGCGUUAUCCGGAAUUAUUGGGCGUAAAGCGUCCGCAGGUGGCGAUUCAAGUCUGCUGUCAAAACCCAGGGCUCAACUCUGGUCAGGCAGUGGAAACUACAUAGCUAGAGUUCGGUAGGGGCAAAGGGAAUUCCCGGUGUAGCGGUGAAAUGCGUAGAGAUCGGGAAGAACAUCGGUGGCGAAAGCGCUUUGCUAGACCGAAACUGACACUCAGGGACGAAAGCUAGGGGAGCG
rnacentral:rRNA from 1 species